rnacentral:rRNA from 1 species
UACGUAGGGUGCAAGCGUUUGUCCGGAAUUAUUGGGCGUAAAGAGCUUGUAGGCGGUUUGUCGCGUCUGCUGUGAAAAUCCGGGGCUCAACCCCGGACUUGCAGUGGGUACGGGCAGACUAGAGUGUGGUAGGGGAGACUGGAAUUCCUGGUGUAGCGGUGAAAUGCGCAGAUAUCAGGAGGAACACCGAUGGCGAAGGCAGGUCUCUGGGCCACUACUGACGCUGAGAAGCGAAAGGCAUGGGGAGCGAACAGG